GGCGCCGGGGACGCCCCACCAGCCCGCCGUUCCCCGGCCGCCGUCCGGGCGCGCGCAGCGAGCGGGCGCGACUAUGCCAAGAUGGUCCUGCAGGCGCGGAACAAGCACCGGGAGGCGGCCCCCAAGCCGCCCCAGCCGCCCCGCGCCUCGCAGUCACCGCUGAGGGGGGCGCCAGACGUCGGCGCCGGGGAGCCCGGGCCAGAGCGCGCGCCCCCGUCCCCCCGGCGCAAGGGCGCCGCGGGCAGGAAGGGGCCCCGCGCCGAGCCUCCCGCGCCGCCCUCCGGGGGCGGCCUCGGGGGGCGCUUGGCUGUCGGGCUGCGCGGGGCGCUGGGCCUGCGGCGCUCGGGGCGCGGCCGGACCUGGACCACGCUCCUGCUAGCUGCCUUUGCAGCAGUGUUGCACUGGAGCCAUAUAACACACCUCUUUGAAAAUGAUCGUCAUUUUUCUCACCUCUCAACAUUGGAAAGGGAGAUGGCUUUUCGCACUGAAAUGGGACUGUAUUAUUCCUACUUUAAGACUAUUGUGGAAGCACCCUCAUUUUUGAAUGGAGUAUGGAUGAUUAUGAAUGAUAAGCUGACUGAAUACCCCCUUGUCAUUAACACAUUAAAAAGGUUCAAUCUUUACCCUGAGGUAAUCUUAGCCAGCUGGUACAGGAUUUAUACCAAAAUAAUGGACUUGAUUGGUAUUCAAACCAAGAUAUGUUGGACAGUUACCAGAGGAGAAGGACUCAGCCCUAUUGAAAGCUGUGAAGGAUUGGGAGAUCCUGCUUGCUUUUAUGUUGCUGUGAUUUUUAUUUUAAAUGGACUAAUGAUGGCAUUAUUUUUCAUAUAUGGCACAUAUUUAAGCGGCAGCCGAUUAGGAGGCCUGGUUACAGUGUUGUGCUUCUUUUUCAAUCACGGAGAGUGUACCCGGGUGAUGUGGACACCUCCUCUCCGUGAAAGCUUCUCAUAUCCAUUCCUCGUACUUCAGAUGUUGCUUGUGACUCAUAUUCUCAGGGCUACAAAACUUUACAGAGGAAGCUUGAUUGCACUCUGCAUUUCCAAUGUGUUUUUUAUGCUUCCUUGGCAGUUUGCUCAGUUUGUACUUCUUACUCAGAUUGCAUCAUUAUUUGCAGUAUAUGUUGUGGGAUACAUUGAUAUAUGCAAAUUACGGAAGAUUAUUUAUAUGCACAUGAUUUCUCUUGCACUUUGUUUUGUUUUGAUGUUUGGAAACUCAAUGUUAUUAACUUCUUAUUAUGCUUCCUCUUUGGUAAUUAUUUGGGGUUUACUGGCAGUGAAACCACACUUUCUGAAAAUAAAUGUAUCUGAACUUAGUUUAUGGGUUAUCCAAGGAUGUUUUUGGUUAUUUGGAACUGUCAUACUCAAGUAUUUGACGUCUAAGAUCUUUGGCAUUGCAGAUGAUGCUCAUAUCGGCAACCUAUUAACAUCAAAAUUCUUCAGUUACAAGGAUUUUGAUACUUUAUUGUAUACCUGCGCAGCAGAGUUUGACUUUAUGGAAAAGGAGACUCCACUGAGGUAUACAAAGACAUUAUUGCUUCCAGUUGUUCUUGUCGUGUUUAUUGCAAUCAUUAGAAAGAUUAUUAGUGACAUGUGGGGUGUCUUAACUAAACAACAGACACAUAUAAGAAAACACCAGUUUGAUCAUGGAGAGUUGGUUUAUCAUGCACUGCAACUAUUAGCAUAUACGGUCCUUGGUAUUUUAAUUAUGAGACUGAAACUCUUCUUGACUCCACACAUGUGUGUCAUGGCUUCCUUGAUCUGCUCAAGACAGCUCUUUGGAUGGCUCUUUUGCAAAGUACAUCCUGGUGCUGUUGUUUUUGCUGUGUUAGCAGCAAUGUCAAUACAAGGUUCAGCAAAUCUACAAACCCAGUGGAAUAUUGUAGGGGAGUUCAGCAAUUUGCCACAAGAAGAACUUAUAGAAUGGAUCAAAUAUAGUACUAAACCAGACGCAGUGUUUGCGGGUGCAAUGCCCACAAUGGCAAGUGUUAAACUCUCCGCACUUCGGCCCGUUGUGAAUCAUCCACAUUAUGAAGAUGCAGGUCUGAGAGCCAGAACGAAAAUAGUAUAUUCAAUGUAUAGUCGAAAAGCAGCUGAAGAAGUGAAGCGAGAAUUGAUAAAGUUACAAGUGAAUUACUACAUUCUGGAGGAGUCUUGGUGUAUAAGAAGAUCCAAGCCGGGUUGCAGUAUGCCCGAAAUCUGGGAUGUGGAAGACCCUGCUAAUGCUGGGAAACCUCCCUUGUGUAACCUCUUGGUAAAGGAGUCCAAGCCUCACUUCACCACUGUCUUCCAGAAUAGCGUUUACAAAGUCUUAGAAGUCAUAGAGGAAUGACCACCGCCUGCAGAGAAGUCCACCAGUAAUGGUUUUCAUGUUUUGCUAAUAACUCAUGCCUUGUUUUUAAUUCAAAUCCCCAAAACUUUUAUAGGCAGAUUAACCUCAUUGUGGAUUGUCCUUGAGACCUGAGUCCUCAGGGAUGGUUUCCGGUGCCCAGUCCGGGGAGCCGCUGAAGAGCUGUUCUUUUUCUGCCUUCUCCCCAGAGCCCAAGGACAAGCCUGGUCUGGGGGAAGCGCUAGCUUGCUUAGAGCAGACAGCUGCCAAGACAGGAGUAUGCAGCCCCCCGUCGCCCAGAGCCCACCUUUCCCAGGGAGCAACCUUCCGUCCUCACGAUUGCCCGCCCUCUUUCUCGCUUCCUGGGUGACUUUUAUUCCUUGGUCUUUUGCCAGUUUCAGAAAACAGGGAAGCAAUUAGGGAGUUGUGGAUUAAGAGUAGAAUUUGCGCAAUGAUGCAGCAAUGCAGAAAAUGGGAAGUGGGCACUGGAGGCCAAGGAGGACAAAAGUUACCAUCAGCAGGAAGAGGGGAAGUGUGUGCUCUGCUUUAUUUGCCGUUGUUUCUCACCUAAACAUGUUUUGUACCUCUUUCAGUUACAAUUUUUUUUAAUUUAAAGUUAUUCUUUUUUUUUUAUCAUGUUUCAGUAACUCCCCUUCUAGUAAAUUCACAUGUAAUGACUGGAAAUUCUAUAAAGGAAAAACAUUAAAAUACUGUUAUAACUGUUUCAUAUGCUGGUAAAAGAUAAAAGUAGUCAAAUUAAUUUUUUUCCAGAAGACUCCUUUUGUAACAUUAUUUAUUAAUGUGACUCCACCAGCAAGCUAUGAUUCUAUUUUAGGCCAGUCAGUUUGGAACAGAGGCCUUGGGCUACACUGCACACUCAGCCUUGGUCACAUCUGGUAGCAGCCGGUGCUGUAGAUUAUAAAUAUCUUUUAUGGCAACAUAGAGUAGUAGUAGGUUCGAUACACAUGACAAAACAGUAUUAAAGCUCAGUAUUUUAUGCAUUUUUAGCAUUUACAAAUAUUUUUGCUUUAGUAUGAGGAAGGUAAGGAUGGGCAAGGAGGUGAUAAAAAUAGCUAUUGCUAUGACAUAAAAAAACAAAGUUGGGGCAGUAUUUCUACAAAAAGAUAAGCCUCAAAGAAUGUGUUAAACUAGGACAAUGACAUGAAGGAGAAAAUGAAAGGAUGUAUCAGGAAUAAAGUGAUACUGCCUAGGGGUGUUGUAUUUUUAUGAAUUUAUGCCAGUUGUUUACAUGUACUAUGUAUGUUAAAUUAAAAAAAUUACGAAAAAUA